GACGAACGCUGGCGGCGUGCCCAAUACAUGCAAGUAGAACGCACAGUUUAUACCGUAGCUUGCUACACCAUAAACUGUGAGUUGCGAACGGGUGAGUAACGCGUAGGUAACCUGCCUGGUAGCGGGGGAUAACUAUUGGAAACGAUAGCUAAUACCGCAUAAUAUUGAUUAUUGCAUGAUAAUUGAUUGAAAGAUGCUAUUGCAUCACUACCAGAUGGACCUGCAUUGUAUUAGCUAGUAGGUGAGGUAACGGCUCACCUAGGCGACGAUACAUAGCCGACCUGAGAGGGUGAUCGGCCACACUGGGACUGAGACACGGCCCAGACUCCUACGGGAGGCAGCAGUAGGGAAUCUUCGGCAAUGGACGAAAGUCUGACCGAGCAACGCCGCGUGAGUGAAGAAGGUUUUCGGAUCGUAAAGCUCUGUUGUAAGAGAAGAACGGGUGUGAGAGUGGAAAGUUCACACUGUGACGGUAUCUUACCAGAAAGGGACGGCUAACUACGUG
rnacentral:rRNA from 1 species